rnacentral:rRNA from 1 species
CACGUAGGGUGCGAGCGUUGUCCGGAAUUAUUGGGCGUAAAGAGCUCGUAGGCGGUGUGUCGCGUCGGCCGUGAAAACCUGCAGCUUAACUGUGGGCUUGCGGUCGAUACGGGCAUCACUGGAGUUCGGCAGGGGAGACUGGAAUUCCUGGUGUAGCGGUGAAAUGCGCAGAUAUCAGGAGGAACACCGGUGGCGAAGGCGGGUCUCUGGGCAGUAACUGACGCUGGAGGAGCGGAAAAGCGUGGGGAGCGAACAGG